AUGAGCAAGGCCCUGUCUACUUGGAAAAGCAAUGUGAAGAGAAUGAUCGAGAAAGGUGAGAGUUAUGAGAAGAUCAAGGAGAAAAAUCCUUCGAUCACCGAAGAUGACUACAACGACUUCAAGAUCAAUUGCUCGAGCACCGCAAGUUCCCAAUCAAGUGAGUGGGGGAAACAAAUGCGGGAGCUGAACAUAGGGGAAAACACACUCGGUCCCGGCGGUUACAGAGUGGCGGAGCCUAUAUGGGACAAGGAGGAGGCGGACCGUGCCGAGCAAGGCCUACCGCCCCUCUUCGAUAAAUACGGUGACAAGCAGACCAGGAACUUUGUCAGGGCCCGGUACAAGAAGGACCCGAAAACAAAGGAGCUUACCACGGAUCCGAAGACCAGGCAGCUUGAGCUUGUUCUGGCGACUGAAAGCAGUAGCGCGGGGUCGACUCAGAGCAACCCUUGGGACACCACUCUAAAUAGGGGGUUGAAUAUAAUGAAGAACAAGGAUAAGCUCAGUAAGCCGACGUCAGCUGGUCGUGUGGCCGGCAAAGGCUUGUCGACAAAAUGGGGGUCAUACUAUACCGCUGGUGUGCGGAAGGAGAAAAAGACCAGCUCGGAAAGCUAG
rnacentral:rRNA from 1 species